rnacentral:rRNA from 1 species
UACGGAGGGUGCAAGCGUUAUCCGGAUUCACUGGGUUUAAAGGGUGCGUAGGAGGGCAGGUAAGUCAGUGGUGAAAUCUCCAAGCUUAACUUGGAACUGCCGUUGAUACUAUCUGUCUUGAAUACCGUGGAGGUGAGCGGAAUAUGUCAUGUAGCGGUGAAAUGCUUAGAUAUGACAUAGAACACCUAAUUGCGAAGGCAGCUCGCUACACGAAUAUUGACUCUGAGGCACGAAAGCGUGGGGAUCAAACAGGAAUUAGAUACCCGGUGUAAGUCCGAUGACCAAGUUCCUCGUGCUCAACGUAAC